GACGAACGCUGGCGGCGUGCCUAAUACAUACAAGUCGAGCGAUUAAGAUUGGUUCUUGCACCAAUUUGAAGAGCAGCGAACGGGUGAGUCACGCGUGGGGACUCUGCCUUUGAGCGUGGGAUCACAUAUGGAAACGUAUGCUAAUACCGCAUAACAACUUUAAACAUAAGUUUUAAGUUUGCAAGAUGCAUUUGCAUCACCUAAAGAUGAUUCCGCGUUGUAUUAGCUAGUUGGUGAGGUAAAGGCCCACCAAGGCGUAGGUACAUAGCCUACCUGAGCGGGUGAUUGGCCAACUUGGGAAUGGGACACGGCCCAAACUCCUACGGGGGGGAGCAGUAGGGAAACUUUGGACAUGGGCGGAAGUCUGAACGAGCAAAGCCGCGGGAGUGAAGAAGGUUUUCGGGUCUGAAAACUCUGUUGGUAGAGAAGAAAGUUGAUGAGGGUGGAAAGCUCAUCAAGUGACGGUAACUACAGAAAAAGGAACGGCUAACUACGUG
rnacentral:rRNA from 1 species